UACAGAGGGUGCAAGCGUUGUUCGGAAUUAUUGGGCGUAAAGGGAGUGUAGGCGGUUGCCUAAGUCUUCUGUGAAAUCUACGGGCUUAGCCUGUAACGUGCAGAGGAAACUGGGCGACUUGAGUGUCGGAGAGGAUAGGGGAAUACCCGGUGUAGAGGUGAAAUUCGUAGAGAUCGGGUGGAACACCAGUGGCGAAGGCGCCUGUCUGGCUGACAACUGACGCUGAGACUCGAAAGCAUGGGGAGCAAACGGG
rnacentral:rRNA from 1 species